CAGCCGCCGCGGUAAUACGAGGGGGGCAAGCGUUGUUCGGAAUUAUUGGGCGUAAAGGGUGCGUAGGCGGCUUGACAAGUCUUGUGUGAAAUCUAUGGGCUCAACCCAUAGUCUGCACGGGAAACUGUCGGGCUUGAGAAUGGGAGAGGUGAGUGGAAUUUCCGGUGUAGCGGUGAAAUGCGUAGAUAUCGGAAGGAACACCUGUGGCGAAAGCGGCUCACUGGACCAUUUCUGACGCUGAUGCACGAAAGCUAGGGGAGCAAACAGGAUUAGAUACCCGAGUAGUCCCUGUCUCUUAUAC
rnacentral:rRNA from 1 species